rnacentral:lncRNA from 10 species
AGUGGAAGAGCGCCAGCUAUUAACUACAGACGUCUCUGGUGGGUCCCUGGUCCCGGCCCAUUCUGUGUCUGUUCUAAGCCGCUGGAGAGCUGGAGAUCAGGACUGCACUGGGUACCUGAGGCAAGAGAAAAGCUGUAACGGAAGGAGUGAAGAAGAGGGAAAAAAACGGGAUGAGGAAACAAGGGGCAGAGAGGAAGCAAACAAAAAUCAAUAAUAGAAGUUUAGCAGCAGAGAUCACCUAGGUGGUUCAACCACUCACUUUUUUGAAGAGCAGGAGAAAAGAAGCGAGAAAAAUAAAAGAGAGAAUAAAGCUAACAUGUAUUGAGUGCUUACUAUUGGUCAGACAUCUUUUAAAAUUUUAUUCCGUUGAAUCCUCACAAAUAUUCCCCUGUGACUUCAGGACACCCUCUACCAUGAUUACUACAUAUGUAUUAAUACUUGUAGAAUGAUGCUUUCAGUACAUGGACUCUUAAUUUCUUGGGGAGGAAAAAACCCUAUGUGGUUCUCAUUUUACAGAAAAGGAAAUUGAGGCUCAUAAAAAUCCAAGGAUUUAUCUGGAGCUUUUCAAACUCAAAACCAUCUUUCUACUUCAAUAUGAUACUUUAAUAAAAACAAAAACAACUAACAUUUCUAUAGUGUUUUAUAUUUCACAACAGGCUUGCAGAAGGUCAAGUGAGGGUAAAGUUAAUGACAUCUUGGCCUUUGUGUUAAGCCAUGAGCAUUACUUAAUUCAUCUGAUACAACGAUCUAGUAAUUGUUAUCUCCACUUUCCAGAUGGAAAAACUGAACUCAGGAAAAUUAAGAAACUUGUAAGUAAUGGAAAGACAAGAAAGUGAAAA